rnacentral:rRNA from 1 species
UACGUAGGGGGCGAGCGUUGUCCGGAAUCAUUGGGCGUAAAGCGCGUGUAGGCGGCUUGAUAAGUCCGGUGUGAAAUCUUGGGGCUCAACCCCAAGCCUGCAUCGGAUACUGUCUCGCUCGAGUUCGGGAGGGGAGAGCGGAAUUCCUAGUGUAGCGGUGAAAUGCGCAGAUAUUAGGAAGAACACCGGUGGCGAAGGCGGCUCUCUGGAACGAUACUGACGCUGAGACGCGAAAGCGUGGGGAGCGAAC